rnacentral:rRNA from 1 species
GACGAACGCUGGCGGCGUGCUUAACACAUGCAAGUGGAGCGACGAACCGGGCUUCGGCCCGGGGCAGAGCCGCGAACGGGUGAGUAACACGUGGGUUAUCUGCCCAGUUGACAGGGACAACCCGGGGAAACCCGGGCUAAUACCUGAUGUGCCCUACGGGGGAAAGGAAGCUUCGGCCUCCGCAACUGGAUGAGCCCGCGGCCCAUUAGCUUGUUGGUGGGGUAAUGGCCUACCAAGGCGACGAUGGGUAGCUGGUCUGAGAGGACGAUCAGCCACACUGGGACUGAGACACGGCCCAGACUCCUACGGGAGGCAGCAGUGGGGAAUCUUGCGCAAUGCGCGAAAGCGUGACGCAGCAACGCCGCGUGGAGGAAGACGGCCUUCGGGUUGUAAACUCCUUUCAGUUGGGACGAAGGUUCACCGGUGAAUAGCCGGUUGGACUGACGGUACCUUCACAAGAAGCCCCGGCUAACUACGUGCCAGCAGCCGCCGUAAUAC